GGAAGUAAAAGUCGUAACAAGGUUUCCGUAGGUGAACCUGCGGAAGGAUCAUUAUUGAAUUAAUGUAGAGUUUGGUUGUAGCUGGCUCCUAAUUAAACUUGGGGGCAUGUGCACACCUUUCUCUUUCAUCCCAUACACACCUGUGCACCUGUGAGACAGAUGUUUUGUGGGGGGGAAGGAACUUUAUUGGAUCUUCUACUCCCCCUUGACUUCUGUCUACUUAAUUCAUAUAAACUCAAUUUAUUUUAAAACGGAUGUAAUGGAUGUAACACAUCUAAUACUAAGUUUCAACAACGGAUCUCUUGGCUCUCGCAUCGAUGAAGAACGCAGCGAAAUGCGAUAAGUAAUGUGAAUUGCAGAAUUCAGUGAAUCAUCGAAUCUUUGAACGCACCUUGCGCUCCUUGGUAUUCCUUGGAGCAUGCCUGUUUGAGUAUCAUGAGAUCUUCAAAGUCAAACCUUUUGUUAAUUCAAUUGGUUCUGCUUUGGUAUUGGAGGAUUAUUGCAGCUUCACACCUGCUCCUCUUUGUGCAUUAGCUGGAUCUCAGUGUUAUGCUUGGUUCCACUCAGCGUGAUAAGUUAUCUAUCGCUGAGGACACCCUGUUAAAAAGGGGUGGCCAAGGUAAAUGCAGAUGAACCGCUUCUAAUAGUCCAUUGACUUGGACAAUAUCUAAUUUAUGAUCUGAUCUCAAAUCAGGUAGGACUACCCGCUGAACUUAAGCAUAUCAAUAAGCGGAGGAA
rnacentral:rRNA from 1 species